AUAUGUUUCCUCUCUUUGUUUGGUUUUAUGUUUUUGCUUUUUGUGUAAUGUAUUUAAAGACUAAACCUGAUUUCUGGGUUUCUUUCAGAAAAAGAAAAUAGAGUAAUUUAAAUGACACGAAGAUAUGUGACGGCCAUGAUCAAGCCCCCCCUUAAGAGUUUAAUUUAGAAUAAAAUAUUACCCGAGGACCGGUCAGGCCAUCAGCUGGAUUGUCAUUCUGCUCUUGAGAUCUGGACAAAAUCAGUGAUUACAUUUGGACCACUGAUGGCUUGUCACAAGAGCGACCCAAAAGAGCAGACUGAAUUGGAGAAAAUCAGUCUCCACAACUGGUUUAAGGGAGCGGAGCAACUCUUCCAUAAACAAAAAACUUCUGAUGCUGACCAAGAGGAUGUAGUGGUAGUACCAGAGACCAUGCCCCCAUCAGACAAGAAUCUUACUUUGUUCAGACACAUCACCUUUGAAUAACUGGGAUCUUGAUCUUCAGACACCUGAUAUUAUUCACAUAUUUAAAUUUCUUUGGAGCUCUAGAUUAAAACACACAGUUCACAAGUACACAAAAGGUUGAACUUUAUUCUUAUUAGUCUAUGCUGAUCUUGUAUUAGCAUACCAACAGCAUGUGAUUGUUAAGGGGAUAGUUCACUCAAAAAAUUAACUUCUCUCAUCUUUACUCACCCGCAUGCUGUCCUAAAUGCAUAUUUCUUUCUUGCUACUGGACAGGUAAACAUAAAUUAAGAUUUUUAGACAAAUAAUCCAUCUCUGAGUCCUAAAGAUGCUAAAAGAUGUAAAUUAUGAGAAUACUGUGCAUUACAUGUAUUCUAUGCAGUUUGUGUUUCGUGGUUUCUGGUCUUUCUUGUUACAACAUAAUUGCAUCUAAGACUUUCACUUUGAUACUUGUGUAUAUGCUAUAGUGACAAUAAAGAAUUUACAUUUAUUUGAAUUAAUUCAUAUUUUCAUUUAAAUUCAUUCAACUGGUUUAUAGUCACACUUAAAAGAGUUGAUGAUUGUUAAAAUGUAUUUCCAAUUUUAAAUGUUAGAUGAUAAUGUUAACUAAAUAAAAUAACUAAACAAAAUUAUCAGCAUGAUAAAAACAAUUGGCAGCAAGAACAUUCUUUGUGUGGAAUAUGUAAUGAAAUAAGCUUGAUUGCCUGGUUGGAGAGAGACUUUCUUGACAACUGAAUAUAUCACACACAUGAUAGUAUUUCAAAUGUAACAGCUCAACCUAAUUAGACCCUACAAUGCAAAAGAAUCAUGAGCAACAAACAAAUACCCUACAAGGACACAUAUAUAAAAUAUAUACAAGAUAUAUACAAUAUAUCUAGUAUUAUAUACAGUGUACUUUAAUAAUUAAGCCUCAAUAUGACCUUCUUUUUGAUCUCUCGGGCUCCUAAAAUCUUAUGUUGACAGAGUAGUAGCAACAGAUAAAUACAGAUUGAAUUUAAAAAAAAAAAAACUCCUAACUUUAUAUCACUAAAAUGAAAUAGGAAGCUGCUAACAGAAGCUCGCAUCUACACUGACACCUUAGAUUGUGUUUUAUUAGUGUCUACACCUACUCCAACCCUAAACAAUAAUGCAAAAACAGUAUUGUUGUACAGUGUGACAAAAAUUAUGCUAUAUUGAUGUUCACAUGCCCAGUAGCCGCAUCUGUAUCCCUUCUAGCCUUAACCACACAUCAGACAGGAAAGUAGAUUAAAGGGGUCAUAUGAUGCGAUUUCAAGUUUUCCUUUCUCUUUGGAGUGUUACAAGCUGUUUGUGAAUAGAUAAGAUCCUUAAAGUUGCAAAGACUAAAGUCUCAAACUCAAAGAGAUAUUCUUUAUAAAAGUUAAGACUCGUCCAAACCCUCCUAAAACACCUAAUUUAAACUUGCCCCCACAUGUCUACAUCACUGUGUUGGAAGAUUUGCAUAACACCGCCCAAAUGUUUACGUAAAGAAUGUCGCCUUAACUUUGAUUCUCGCUGCCAUGUCGUGGAGACACUGUUUCAUUGCGAAACUACUUUGUUUGGCCUUCCAGAAGAGGACACAACUACAAAUCAGUAGUUAAGUCAUAUUUACAACACUGUUCCAGAACAGUUAAACCCAAAUAUUCAGAUGUGUGCAGCGCAUUUUAUGGAGGACUGUUUCCUGAGGAGAGUAGACUACAAUGUUUAGUUUAGUUUAGUUUAACUUUAUUGUCUGUACAGAUUUCCUAAAUAGAAAUUUAUCUUUGACACUGGCAUAAAAAAUACAUCCUAACAGAUAACACUAUACAUUCACAUAUCACAUAAUAAAAUACACAGAGAAAAAAAAAUUAAUACAUUUGCAUGCCCACACAUAUGCAUACACAUGUACACACACCUACCCAGAAAGAUACCUAAUGAUAAUACCUCAAUUAAGAAUUUGAUUUAAAACAGUCACUGCCAGUGGUACAAAUUAAUUUUUAUAUAGGUUAUUUUUAGCAAGUGGUAUACGCAGACUUCGCCCUGAAG
ensembl:lncRNA